CAAAAGAAAGGAAAGGAAAAAGGAAAGAAAAACCGUGGGAGAGGAAGAGAAAAGGAACAAAAAAAAAUUCUGCUCUUUUCUUGGCACAAUUUUGCUGCACUUUGAGGGAGAAAAAGAGAGCUUUUUGCUGCAAUUUUUAGAGGAAGAAAAAGCUGAAAAUUUUGAGAAAAAUUGGACAGCUUUGCGCUGCCAAAAUUGAGAAGUUUUGUUGCUGGAAAUUGAGCUGAAAAUCUGCUGAUUUUAGAGCAAAAAAUGGUAGCAAAAAGGGUGAGAAAAUGAGGCUUUUGGUGAUCGAUUUUUAGAGGAAAGGAAGAGAGGAAGCCACGGUGGUGAGGAGAGGAAGACAUGGUGGUGAAGGGAGUGACGGUGGAAGAGA